AAAAAAGAAGUAAAAAUUAGGCCACAAUGUUGAUAUUGUGCACUGUUUGAAUUAAUAUGAACACCGAAAUUGCUGAAGAGGUUGACACACAACAGCUAUGUAGUGAAGAAACAACUCAUUUUAAGGGGAAAAAAGAACCGCUCCUCAAUUGAUGAAGGCAUUGUUAAAAUAUUGAUGAAAUUGUUUACCAAAUCAAUUGACAGAACCCAAGACAUGAAAGAAAGCAUACCCACAAAAACACAAAAGUAUGAGAGAGAGAGUACCCAAAUGGAACUUAACAAUACUAAGAAUGGGAAUAAAGGAAAGACUUACAGGAAGAGAGUAGUUGGAAUAAAGAAAACUUGCAACUCACUCUCAACCUUGGUCCUUGAUGGACUUUGAGGGCCUACAACUCAAAAAAUAAAAUUAAAAGAAUUAGAAAGAGAGAGAGAGGGAAUGGAAGUUUUAAAUUUUUAAAUUUUUAAUCCCAGGCAAAUGAAAGUUUCAAAUGAUUCCGUGCCUAUGUCAUUCUAAAUAAUAGAAAAUAUAAGGAAGCUCGCUCCAUUAUCUUUUGCCCAAAAAUUGCCUACUGUUUAUUAUUAAAAAUAACAUCCAACUCCCAUUGUUUGUAUCAUCAAUUUGAAUAUAUACCUCUAUUUUUGCUAAACCUUACCACCAUACACUACAUUUACUUGGCCUGUUAUUAUAGAUUCACUCACUAUUUGAACAACGAAAAAGUAAAAUUAUAUAAGCAACUAGUUUAACCAAGAGAAAAUAAACCAUUUUAAUUGAGACAUUUUACUGAACAUGGCAUAUACAUGAAGACACGCACAAAAUAUAGAGGGGCAAAGAGACAGAUUUUAAUUGAGGCAAUAUAAAUGAGAAGCAAAUCACAUAAUAUAAAUGAGAAACAAAUCACAUAAUAUAAUUGAGGCCAUUUGAUUACCCCCUAAAAAAUUACACUCUUGUGUUGCAUAUGUUAGACACCCAACGAAAACCCAAAUAAAAAUUGAGGCAUUUUGGAGACCUAUUUUAGAAAAAUAUUUCAAAGACUUAUGUGAGGCAUUUUACAGAACAUAGUGUAUACAUACAAAGAGACACAUAAAAUAAAAAAAGGCCCAAAAAAAAAAUUUUUGAACUGAGAAACCCUAGAUAUGCCUAGAAAAGAGAAGAAAAAUUUGAAGAGGAUAUCGAUCUCUUUCUCGCUAGUUGCGUCGAUCGAUCUACCUUGCAUUUGAUCAAACAGUGCACUCAAAUCUCAACAAAGUUGCCAUAGGUAAAACCAAGAAAGGAGAGUGAGUAGAAGAGAGAGAGAGAGAGAAUGAAACAAAACCAGAGAGAAGGAGAUUAAAAUUUGAAAUGAGGAUGAGAGAGAGAGAGAGGAGGACGUUUGUGAGAUGAGGUGUGUUUGGUACUCAUGAGUAGGAAUCCAAAAGAGGCAAACAAUGUUAUGUAUUUGGCCCUUAGAUUUUGAUUAGGAUUGAUCUGAACCGUUGGUUAUAAAUGUAUCUCUAACAUAAUUUCUUGCCAGAGUGAGUGAGACAUUUUUAGCCCUUGGAUUGAAGCAAUCUGAUGGUCCAUAUUUUGACAAAGGGACAAAAGUCCCAUCAAGAAUAAAAAACAGAGUUGUUUUGUUAUAUAGAUGUGUAGUCUUAAGUUCUUAAACAUCCAAGAAUGCAUUUGAAGAAAACAACUUAUUAAGCUCCAAAAUAGUGUGAACAUAAUUAAAAACAAAUCCAAAAACAAACCAUGGAAGUAAAUUCUACAUGUUGUAAUCAUUUGAAAUACCUGGCAGAAAUCAAGCCCAACAUCUCCACCACCCCCUGCAAUCUAGCACCUUUGAGAGAGAAAGAGAGAGAGAGAGAGAGGUGUAUAAACAAAGGCAACUUACUCGGCUAAAUUUUCUCAAAAAGAAAUUUAAAUGGCCAAAAAUGGUGGCACUACUAGAAAUAUUGCGACUAUUUUUUGUGACUGAUUAUUUGACCGUCGCAAAAAAAUCAAUUUUUACACCAAAAUCUCGUUUUAAUUGAACCCCAAUUGUGUUCUUAACUUGAGAGAAAAAAAAAAAACAAAUUGCGUAAAACUUGCCCUAUCUCCUUUCACUCUUAUUUCCCAAAUCUAUCUCCUAUGGUAUGAAAACUCUUCUUCUCUCUCUCUCACUCACUCUUCACUUUCUCUCACUCAACUCUCUCUGUCGACUCACCAUUCGCAAUUUUAUUGUUCAUUUGAACAUUUCAAUCACCUGUUGAUGAAGAUUUGAAGAUUUUGAUCGAUUAUUGAUGAAGAUUUGAAGAUUUCGAUAUGCUGUUGAUGAAGAUUUUGAUUGAUUCAUAAUCGGUAAGCCUAAUUUCUAUGUAUGAAUCCAACUCUCAGUCUCUGUAAUCCCUAUAUUGUUCUCUCAGCUCCCAAAUUCUCUUCGGCUUGUCGCGAUGAUCAAUAUCAGUUCAGAGGAAGUGGAUUUCGAAGAUCAACAUGAAAAUUUUCUAAUUCAAUUUAUUUUUAUCAAGGCGGUGCAAACUCUGAUUUCGAAACAUGUUUUUGAUUCGAAGAUUUGUUUUAUUUUUUAUUUUUUUAAAUUAUUAAAUCUCGAUUUGCUUUGGCUAGUUGAUCUGAACAUUUCUCUAGAUUGUUUGCUAAACUCUAAACAUUUAUCCAACAGGCUGAUAGAUGGACAUUUGACGUUAAUUUCAGGCCAAAAUCUACUACUGAACCUGAGCGUGCAAUAUCAACCAUUUGUAAAUUCAAAGCACUUCCACUAAACAGAAAGGUUCGUUGCUAUGGUUAAUGAAAAUUGCAUAUUUAUCAAAGGUUCACUAUGUUGUUUAUAUUUCACUAAGAUGUGAUGCUUACAACUUACAGAUUCUUGAGGCUCCGUCAUUGUUACUCCCAAAAAGAAGCACUCAUUGAUUGCUAGAGUUUUAAGUGCAUGCUCAAACUCGUGUACUGCUUGUGCAUGUACAAAUAUCAUUGUUUUGAGUCUAAGUUUGGGCCAUAUCUUGUGCAAAUAAAAUCUCUUGCCACUUGGUGUGGCUUAAAUAUUCCUUUGUCAUGUUCCUUCUUAGGAAUUGCACCGGAAGACGCUGGAGAGGGCUAUGCAACAUACAUCUGCAGUUUCAUCAUCCUCGGUUCUUACAGUGAUACUAAUAAGGGUUGUGAUUGAAUUUGCCCCCCUCCCAAAAAAAAUAUUGUGAUUGAAUUUAAUGGAUACUUAAGUAUACUUUGACACAAUUAAUAUAUUGUGUCCUUGAUUGCGACUCUUGUGCCUAAGAAGGAUACAACCCAGUUCGAAAGAAUUCCUUGUGUAACUGUUCUACAAUUGUGUUCUACUGGUUCCAAGUGUUGCACAAACCUAGUACUAAUGCAAUUGCAGAAAAUGCAAAUGGAGAAUCCAGAAGACCAAAUUUUGCCAAUGCUCCAAAGCAGGAGGGAUGUGAAUUUAUUCAUAAUUUUAAAGUUCGUCCCCUUAACAAGAAGAUAUUUUCAAGUAAAGGAGAUAUUGGAAUUAGAUGAUUGAAGUGAAAUUUUGCAAUAUGCUAGGAAAGCUUACAACAAAAUCGACGAUGGUCUCUUCUGAAGAUGGUUGUUUUGCUGCAAGCGUUACAUGUAACGAUAUACAAUAAUCAGAAAUGGAAAAGAUUCCAGAAACAAAGGCGCUUUUUGAGAACUCGCAUGUUGUGGGUCAAGCAGCGAUUACGAGCACUACUUUUAUUAGAGAAGUUAUGGCUUUACUAGCAUUCUAUCUGGAUUGUGUUUUUGUCAUGAAAGAACUUUUUCUUGGUUUUUAGUUGUAAUAACUUCACAUAUAGCUCCAAUUUUGAGACUCAAAUGCAAUGCUUGAUUAAAUUAUAAUGCUAUACUGUCUAACUUCUUCUCAUUGCUACUCCUAGAGUGCUUAAUGUUACACUUUUAUGUUUCUUUAUUUUUUUAUUUUUGUUUUUUUGUGACGGUAACAAGUGGUUGCCAAAAACAUGCUAGCAUUUUUCUUUGUUUUUUGCGACGGCAAAAUAUCAGUCGCCACAAGUAGUUUAG